GUUACUUUACUUGGUCACCAUGUGAAUUUCUUUGAAAUGAACCAAAUUCUUUUAUUUUUGGUUGUUGCAUAUUUAAACUCUACAGUCAGGAAUGGCGGAGAUGAGGCCUCAACAAUGUUGGGUUGUAGCUGUGGUUCAGGUUAGAGAGUGUCCAUGGAAUAAUCUCCACUUUGACUUUUCUCUGUGACCAUCAGAGCUUCUGCACAGUGUCAUCAAAUCUGGAUGUUUGUCACUGACAGUCAAUGAUUUUAGUGAUAAAUGUGUCCACAGAGGGAGGAAGAGGAAGAGGAGCAGUGUGUGUGAGGAGCAGCAGCUGUCCUGCUGUGCUUUGUGUCAGGACGUCCUGAAGGAUCCAGUCUCUACCAGCUGUGGACACUGGUUCUGCAGACAGUGCAUCUGCUCAUACUGGGACCAGUCUGCUUCAUCAGGAGACUCGUCCUGUCCCCAGUGUGGAGAAAGAUCCAGAAGCAGAGCUGGACUGCAGACAGCCAGUCAGAGCAGCUGUGUACAAACAGAUGUUGGUCUGCAGGAGGUUUUAGAUGAACAUAAGA